GGGCAAGGGACCCUUAUGUGGCAAAUGGAGGGGCUGCCUAUAAAUAAUACCUAUUGACUCAUGGAUCAGAUUUUUCCAUUCAUAAAAUUAGUGAAGGAGGAAGAGACCUAUAAACUAGAGAGAGGAGCUCCUAGCCAUGGCAACUCACGGCCAUGGCUAUGGCAGCAACCCUUUGAACGACCAGCCCACUCCAACACAAACAAACCACUAAUUUCAUCUUGACUAGGAGAGGAAAAUUGUGAACAGCCAUGACAGCCCCCUUGGGCACUCACGGCCAACUCCAAAGAUGAAAGAGGAAGAGAAUUUGAAUUUCACAAAAGUGUUCUAACUGUUUUACACGUUCAAAGGAGGCAGCAACAUAGGGAUUUAAGUUGAAGAACAUGAAGUGGUGCGAAUUGUGCAAACUAUUGUAGGAUCUAUCCUAACUAAAGUUGAGGCUAAAAGAGCGACGAAGCGAAAAGGAUUCACGAUUAGUCGCUGACAGGUACAGAUACUCGCUUUGGUGAUCCGCCAGCUUAGGAUUCCCUUUCUACUGUCUUGGAGACCUCCGUUGUUCCGGAGCCUAGAUUUUGGUACCGACUUCCUGAUAUGCAUAUAUAUAUAUGAUUUUGUCCAUGGGUACAACGGGGCCCUGUCCCGUCAUAUGUUACUGUUGAUACUCUUAGAGGUCUGUAGAUAUGUAUGUGAGUUGUGUGCAUAUGUGGUUAGUUGUGCCUAUAUGGUCAUUAUGGAUGUUCUAGCGCUGUAGCAGCCUUGCCGGCUUGUAUAUAUUAUCGUUCUGUUGUAGCAGCCUUGUUGGCUUGCGUAUUAUUUCAUGAUAUGAUCAGUUGUGACUCCUCAGGAGACAGUGUAUCUGAAUAUACAUAUAUGAUGAUGCUAUGAACCUUCAG